rnacentral:rRNA from 1 species
UACAGAGGUCUCAAGCGUUGUUCGGAUUCAUUGGGCGUAAAGGGCGCGUAGGCUGCGGGGCAAGUCGGGUGUGAAAUCUCAGAGCUCAACUCUGAAACUGCACUCGAUACUGCUUUGCUCGAGGACUGGAGAGGAGAUUGGAAUUCACGGUGUAGCAGUGAAAUGCGUAGAUAUCGUAAGGAAGACCAGUGGCGAAGGCGAAUCUCUGGACAGUUACUGACACUGAGGCACGAAGGCCAGGGGAGCAAACGGG